rnacentral:lncRNA from 1 species
UAAAGUCUUAGAGCUUAAAUUCGUAAUAUAAAAGACGCGAUAAGAAAUUAUAGUUAGAAUUUUUAGGAAGGAUAAAUAAAUAUAUAUGUAUUUUAAUUAAAAAAAUAUAUUUUGUAAUUAAAAAAUAUGUGUGCGGAUACCCGUAAGUACCCGCGGGUUACUCAAAAUACCCACAGCUUAAUGGGUACCCACCCGUUUUACCCAUAAUUUUUUGGGUUGAAAAAGUUGGUAUCCAUACCCGUAAAUUUGCCAGUAACCCGCAGGCACCUGCGGGUAUGGGUCGAGAUUGCCAGGUCUACUUAUAUCUCUUGGUGAUGUUUUUAGGAAAUGACGAGAGAAUUGGAGACAUUAGAAUCUAAACAGGGGGCAAGGACGAAGCUAGAAUUUAAGUUUGAGAGAGACCAAACAAUUGUAGCACAUUUAUCUUUAAAAAAUUUUAUGAAGCAAAUUAUAAUAAAGCAUUCUAAAAAAACACUAUAAUAGAUAUUUUAUGAUAUUAAAAAUAUCUAUUAAUGUUUUUUUGACCAAAUUACUCUUUUACCUUUCUAAAUCUUCUGUCUCUCGUUCUGCACGCUUUCCAUUUUUCUCUUUUCUUCUUUUUCAAAAUUGUCCUUUCCUUAUAAUGAAAUAUCGAUCAUAUCCUAACAAUAUGAACCAUCAGAUCUAAUUCAUUUUCUAAUUAAUAUCUCGCAACCGCUUAAUAAUUUUUUUUAUUUUAAUUUUUUAGUUUACAAACUAUGUAUAAGUAAUU